rnacentral:rRNA from 1 species
UACGUAGGUGGCAAGCGUUGUCCGGAUUUACUGGGCGUAAAGAGCGCGCAGGCGGUCGUGCAAGUCGCGUGUGAAAGCCCCCGGCUCAACUGGGGAGGGUCACGCGAUACUGCUCGACUCGAAGGCAGGAGAGGGAAGUGGAAUUCCCGGUGUAGUGGUGAAAUGCGUAGAUAUCGGGAGGAACACCAGUGGCGAAGGCGACUACCUGGCCUGUUCUUGACGCUGAUGCGCGAAAGCGUGGGUAGCAAACAGG